GGCCCCAUGGUGUAAUGGUUAGCACUGUGGACUUCGAAUCCAGUGAUCAGAGUUCAAAUCUCUGUGGGACCU